GUUGGAAAGAACCCAGAUGCCACAGAACAUAAGAAUGGAUGUAGAAAGAUGAUGACAUCAUGAAUUUUCAGGCAAUUGGACGGAAUGAGAAAAUAUCAUCCUAGGUGAUGUAACUGAGACACAACAGGGCAUGCAUGGCAUGUAUUCACUGAUAAGUGGAUAUUAGCCAAAAAUACAGCAUAUCUAGGAUACAACCUACAGACCAUAAGAAGUGCACAAGCAGAAAUGCUCAAGUAAAGAGGUUUCAACUCCACUUAGAAGGGGAGGAAAUAUUCAUGGGAGGCAGGAACCUGGGAAGGGGAAGAGGAGGAGGGAUUAGAAGUUCAAGAUAAUUCUGGAAUCUUGGCAAAAGAAAGAGGGUGGAGACGUGUGGUGACACAAAUCUGUAAUGUCAUCACUAGGAACUAAUGCAGGAGCAUUGCCAGGACCAAGAUAAGGUACAUGAAGUGCCUGAGGCACACAUAAACAAAGGCUAAAAAUGAAAAAUCAACUGUCCUGCUUUUCAGAUCCUGUCAGAGUGAGCUGCAAUGCUUUACAAAC
rnacentral:lncRNA from 1 species